rnacentral:rRNA from 1 species
AACAGAGAGUAGCUUGCUACUUUGCUGACGAGCGGCGGACGGGUGAGUAAUGCUUGGGAACAUGCCUUGAGGUGGGGGACAACAGUUGGAAACGACUGCUAAUACCGCAUAAUGUCUACGGACCAAAGGGGGCUUCGGCUCUCGCCUUUAGAUUGGCCCAAGUGGGAUUAGCUAGUUGGUGAGGUAAUGGCUCACCAAGGCGACGAUCCCUAGCUGGUUUGAGAGGAUGAUCAGCCACACUGGGACUGAGACACGGCCCAGACUCCUACGGGAGGCAGCAGUGGGGAAUAUUGCACAAUGGGCGCAAGCCUGAUGCAGCCAUGCCGCGUGUGUGAAGAAGGCCUUCGGGUUGUAAAGCACUUUCAGUCAGGAGGAAAGGUUAGUAGUUAAUACCUGCUAGCUGUGACGUUACUGACAGAAGAAGCACCGGCUAACUCCGUGCCAGCAGCCGCGGUAAUACGGAGGGUGCGAGCGUUAAUCGGAAUUACUGGGCGUAAAGCGUACGCAGGCGGUUUGUUAAGCGAGAUGUGAAAGCCCCGGGCUCAACCUGGGAACUGCAUUUCGAACUGGCAAACUAGAGUGUGAUAGAGGGUGGUAGAAUUUCAGGUGUAGCGGUGAAAUGCGUAGAGAUCUGAAGGAAUACCGAUGGCGAAGGCAGCCACCUGGGUCAACACUGACGCUCAUGUACGAAAGCGUGGGG